rnacentral:rRNA from 1 species
UACAGAGGGUGCGAGCGUUGUCCGGAAUCACUGGGCGUAAAGGGCGCGUAGGUGGCGAUCCAAGUCCAUGGUGAAAGCUCGAUGCUCAACAUCGAGUCGGCCACGGAUACUGGGUUGCUUGAGCACUGUAGGGGCAGAUGGAAUUCCGGGUGUAGCGGUGGAAUGCGUAGAGAUCCGGAAGAACACCGGUGGCGAAGGCGGUCUGCUGGGCCGUUGCUGACGCUGAGGCGCGACAGCGUGGGGAGCAAACAGG